AUGGGGGAAACCCUGAUGCAGCAACGCCGCGUGAGGUAUGAAGGCCUUUGGGUUGUAAGCCUCUGUCCUAGGGGAAGAAAAAAAUGACGGUACCCGAGGAGGAAGCCCCGGCUAACUACGUGCCAGCAGCCGCGGUAAUACGUAGGGGGCAAGCGUUAUCCGGAAUUAUUGGGCGUAAAGAGUGCGUAGGUGGUCUACUAAGCGCGAGGUGAAAGGCAAUGGCUCAACCAUUGUUAGCCUUGCGAACUGGCAGACUUGAGUGCAAGAGAGGAAAGCGGAAUUCCUAGUGUAGCGGUGAAAUGCGCAGAUAUUAGGAGGAACACCGGCGGCGAAGGCGGCUUUCUGGAUUGUAACUGACACUGAGGCACGAAAGCGUGGGUAGCAAACAGGAUUAGAUACCCUGGUAGUCCACGCCGUAAACGAUGAGCACUAGGUGUCGGGACAUGAGUCUCGGUGCCGCAGUUAACGCAAUAAGUGCUCCGCCUGGGGAGUACGCACGCCAGUGUAAACUCAAG
rnacentral:rRNA from 1 species